GAUCAUGGCUCAGGAUGAACGCUAGCUACAGGCUUAACACAUGCAAGUCGAGGGGCAGCGGGAAGUCAGCUUGCUGACUUUGCCGGCGACCGGCGCACGGGUGAGUAACACGUAUCCAACCUUCCCGUUACUCUGGAAUAGCCUUUCGAAAGAAAGAUUAAUACCGGACGUAGUAUCGAGAGAUUGUCAUGAUUACCCGACUUAAAGUAAUUCUAUCGGUAACGGAAGUGGGGAGUGCGUUCC
rnacentral:rRNA from 1 species